CGUGACAAUAUUCAAUUUGGAUCACUUGGGACCACGCUUACAUCUUUUAUUUUGUUCAAAUUUUAUAAUUUUUUAUUUUAUUUUAUCUUUUUCUAUCCCCUAUAUUCCAUUAAAUUUCAGUUCAAUUUGAUAAUUACCCUUCAAUCCUCUCUUCAUCCAUCUAUUUAUACCCACUCAGUGUUCUAUCCUUUAAUCAUCUUCGUCUUCAUAUUCUCUGUUGUGUUUGUAGUGUGUACACUCUAAUACAAAGGGUUGCACAUUUCUCUCGCGUGCGCCACUAUCAGAUGAAGCUGCCAGCAUGAUCUUAACCUUCCUCCUUUGCCGAGGAAAGAUCAGAUCAUGUGGCAGUUUCAUCGGUUGUUGGCAUCACGAAAAAAAAAAAAACCCUAAAUUUACAUGAAACAAACCCUCAAAGUGUUCUGUACUUUAAUUAAUUUUCUUAAACGGCCGUUAGGGUUUUUCUUGUUUAAUCCCUAGAAAAGUGAAACUUACGCAGUCUUCUGGUUUGUUGGAGUUUUGGGUGAUAAUAUUUUUGCGUCUCGGUGCACUUCGAAGAUCUAAAGAUCCCUCCUUGUGCUUCGGCGAUUGAGCUUUAACACUCAUAACCUGCAACGAUGUUUUUUGUUGGUUAAAUCGGGUAUCCAACAAUAAAAGCUACCACACUUUUGAUUCCCUUGCGCUUUCUAGGGUUUGCCUUUGUCAGCAAUCAUUCAAAAAGGAGCUCAAGUGAGCUCUGGCUGUAUAUGUUGACUGGUUGAUUGAAGCUUCAAAUAUGAGAGCUUGUUUCAUGCUAUUCAAGGAUGUUAUUGGGAAGAUCAAUAUUGGAGGGGCUCAAGUUCAAUGUAUGAGAGGGAGAUAUCAGUGAAAGUAGUCCAGUUUUGUGUUCAUUGUAUCAAAGGCAGCUGAUAUGGGAGAAUAAUUGAUGCAUAAUACUAAUUUUAAACAUUGCUUUGCUUUCCUUUUCUAAAUACUUCAAUUGUCCA